rnacentral:rRNA from 1 species
AGCGAACGCUGGCGGCAGGCCUAACACAUGCAAGUCGAACGAACCUUUCGGGGUUAGUGGCGGACGGGUGAGUAACACGUGGGAACGUGCCUUUAGGUUCGGAAUAACUCAGGUAAACUUGUGCUAAUACCGAAUGUGCCCUUCGGGGGAAAGAUUUAUCGCCUUUAGAGCGGCCCGCGUCUGCUUAGCUAGUUGGUUGAGGUAAUGGCUCACCAAGGCGACGAUCAGUAGCUGGGCUGAGAGGAUGAUCAGCCACAUUGGGACUGAGACACGGCCCAAACUCCUACGGGAGGCAGCAGUGGGGAAUCUUGCGCAAUGGGCGAAAGCCUGACGCAGCCAUGCCGGGUGAAUGAUGAAGGUCUUAGGAUUGUAAAAUUCUUUCACCGGGGACGAUAAUGACGGUACCCGGAGAAGAAGCCCCGGCUAACUUCGUG